rnacentral:tRNA from 1 species
AAGGGUAUAGCUCAAGUGGUAGAGUGCAUGUUUAGCAUGAUAUGGAUUCUGGGUUCAAUCCCCGGUACCUUCU